rnacentral:siRNA from 1 species
AACUAGGUGAGUGCCCGC